GUGAGGAAUUUUCCGCAAUGGGCGAAAGCCUGACGGAGCAAUGCCGCGUGAAGGAUGAAGGCCUAUGGGUUGUAAACUUCUUUUCUCAGAAAAGAAUUAUGACGGUAUCUGAGGAAUAAGCAUCGGCUAACUCUGUGCCAGCAGCCGCGGUAAGACAGAGGAUGCAAGCGUUAUCCGGAAUGAUUGGGCGUAAAGCGUCUGUAGGUUGUUUAAAAAGUAUUCUGUCAAAGAUUAGGGCUUAACCCUAGAUAGGCAGAAUAAACUUUUAAGCUAGAGUUUGGUAGAGGCAGAGGGAAUGCCCGGUGGAGCGGUGAAAUGCGUAGAUAUCGGGAGGAACACCAAAGGCGAAGGCACUCUGCUGGGCCAAUACUAACACUGAGAGACGAAAGCGAGGGGAGCAAAUGGGAUUAGAAACCCGAGUAGUCC
rnacentral:rRNA from 1 species